rnacentral:rRNA from 1 species
UACGUAGGGACCAAGCGUUGUUCGGAUUUACUGGGCGUAAAGGGCGCGUAGGCGGCCUGACACGUCACUUGUGAAAUCUCUGGGCUUAACCCAGAACGGCCAAGUGAUACUGUCGCGCUAGAGUGCAGAAAGGGCAAUCGGAAUUCUUGGUGUAGCGGUGAAAUGCGUAGAUAUCAAGAGGAACACCUGAGGCGAAGGCGGGUUGCUAGGCUGACACUGACGCUGAGGCGCGAAAGCGUGGGGAGCGAUCCGG